AGUGAACGCUGGCGGUAGGCCUAACACAUGCAAGUCGAACGGCAGCACAGUAAGAGCUUGCUCUUACGGGUGGCGAGUGGCGGACGGGAGAGGAAUAUAACGGAAUCUACUUUUUCGUGGGGGAUAACGAAGGGAAACUUACGCUAAUACCGCAUACGCCCUACGGGUGAAAGCAGGGGAUCUUCUGACCUUGCGCGAUUGAAUGAGCCGCUGACGGAUUAGCUAGUUGGCGGGGUAAAGGCCAACCAAGGCGACGAUCCGUAGCCGGUCUGAGAGGAUGGUCGGCCACAUUGGAACGUAGACACGGACCAGACGCCUACGGGAGGCAGCAGUGGGGAAUAUUGGACAAUGGGGGCAAACCUGAUCCAGCCAUACCGCGUGGGUGAAGAAGGCGUUCGGGUUGUAAAGCCCUUUUGUGGGGAAAGAAAAGCAGCAGGUUAAUACCCCGCUGUUCUGACGGUACCCAAAGAAUAAGCACCGGCUAACUUCGUG
rnacentral:rRNA from 1 species